GUGCAGCAGUCGCGAAUUUUUCACAAUGGGGGAAACCCUGAUGGAGCGACGCCGCGUGGAGGAUGAAGGCCUUUUGGUCGUAAACUCCUGUCAUGCGAGAACAAGAAAGUGAUAGUAUCGCAAGAGGAAGAGGCGGCUAACUCUGUGCCAGCAGCCGCGGUAAUACAGAGGCCUCAAGCGUUGUUCGGAUUCAUUGGGCGUAAAGGGUGCGUAGGUGGCUUGUUAAGUUGAAGGUGAAAUCUCGGGGCUCAACUCCGAAACUGCCUUCAAUACUGGCGAGCUCGAGGAUUGUAGAGGAGAAUGGAAUUCACGGUGUAGCAGUGAAAUGCGUAGAUAUCGUGAGGAAGACCAGUGGCGAAGGCGAUUCUCUGGGCAACUCCUGACACUGAGGCACGAAGGCCAGGGGAGCAAACGGGAUUAGAUACCCCUGUAGU
rnacentral:rRNA from 1 species